AUUGAACGCUGGCGGCAGGCUUAACACAUGCAAGUCGAGCGGAGAUGAGGUGCUUGCACCUUAUCUUAGCGGCGGACGGGUGAGUAAUGCUUAGGAAUCUGCCUAUUAGUGGGGGACAACAUUCCGAAAGGAAUGCUAAUACCGCAUACGCCCUACGGGGGAAAGCAGGGGAUCUUCGGACCUGUCGCUAAUAGAUGAGCCUAAGUCGGAUUAGCUAGUUGGUGGGUAAAGGCCUACCAAGGCGACGAUCUGUAGCGGGUCUGAGAGGAUGAUCCGCCACACUGGGACUGAGACACGGCCCAGACUCCUACGGGAGGCAGCAGUGGGGAAUAUUGGACAAUGGGCGGAAGCCUGAUCCAGCCAUGCCGCGUGUGUGAAGAAGGCCUUUUGGUUGUAAAGCACUUUAAGCGAGGAGGAGGCUACCUGGAUUAAUACUCUAGGAUAGUGGACGUUACUCGCAGAAUAAGCACCGGCUAACUCUGUGCCAGCAGCCGCCGUAAUAC
rnacentral:rRNA from 1 species